rnacentral:rRNA from 2 species
GGAGCUGCGGGAGCUUUACACAUGCAAGUCGAACGGCAGCACGAGAGAGCUUGCUCUCUUGGUGGCGAGUGGCGGACGGGUGAGUAAUAUAUCGGAACGUGCCCAGUAGCGGGGGAUAACUACUCGAAAGAGUGGCUAAUACCGCAUACGCCCUACGGGGGAAAGGGGGGGAUCGCAAGACCUCUCACUAUUGGAGCGGCCGAUAUCGGAUUAGCUAGUUGGUGGGGUAAAGGCUCACCAAGGCAACGAUCCGUAGCUGGUUUGAGAGGACGACCAGCCACACUGGGACUGAGACACGGCCCAGACUCCUACGGGAGGCAGCAGUGGGGAAUUUUGGACAAUGGGGGAAACCCUGAUCCAGCCAUCCCGCGUGUAUGAUGAAGGCCUUCGGGUUGUAAAGUACUUUUGGCAGAGAAGAAAAGGUAUCUCCUAAUACGAGAUACUGCUGACGGUAUCUGCAGAAUAAGCACCGGCUAACUACGUGCCAGCAGCCGCGGUAAUACGUAGGGUGCAAGCGUUAAUCGGAAUUACUGGGCGUAAAGCGUGUGUAGGCGGUUCGGAAAGAAAGAUGUGAAAUCCCAGGGCUCAACCUUGGAACUGCAUUUUUAACUGCCGAGCUAGAGUAUGUCAGAGGGGGGUAGAAUUCCACGUGUAGCAGUGAAAUGCGUAGAUAUGUGGAGGAAUACCGAUGGCCGAAGGCAGCCCCCUGGGAUAAUACUGACGCUCAGACACGAAA